ACAGUCGGCGCGAAGAUACGCUUGACACAUUUGAAAAUACGUGUCAGAAGAGGUUCAGCCGCAACAGAGGAGCGCGCCCCUCCUGCAGUCGCCCCAGUACACUGGUGGUAGACCGCAGCCAUACAAUGCUACGACAAUGACGUCACAAGUGCCGAGACCCUGCAGCGAAGACUCUUGCAGUCAGCACAGUCAGACUUGUGACCAGAACGUUGCUGAUAAAAUUUAUCUCGCACCUAAGUGACUGAUAGGUUAUAAUACUAAAAAAAUACAAAAGCUGCAAAAAGUAUCUGACAGAGUAAGUGUAAUUUUAUGGUGAAAAAGAAAAAUAUAUCACAAACUUUUAUCUGUUGGAUACCGUUAUAGGUCAAAUAGUCUUAUCAGCAACCAAUGUAACAAGCCCAUAAUAUUGUAAACUGAACAAAAACACAAUAAAUCACUAACGCAGAAA